UGAGUUUGNUCAUGGCUCAGGACGAACGCUGGCGGCGUGCUUAACACAUGCAAGUCGAACGAUGAACCACUUCGGUGGGGAUUAGUGGCGAACGGGUGAGUAACACGUGGGCAAUCUGCCCUGCACUCUGGGACAAGCCCUGGAAACGGGGUCUAAUACCGGAUACUGACCCUCGCAGGCAUCUGCGAGGUUCGAAAGCUCCGGCGGUGCAGGAUGAGCCCGCGGCCUAUCAGCUUGUUGGUGAGGUAAUGGCUCACCAAGGCGACGACGGGUAGCCGGCCUGAGAGGGCGACCGGCCACACUGGGACUGAGACACGGCCCAGACUCCUACGGGAGGCAGCAGUGGGGAAUAUUGCACAAUGGGCGAAAGCCUGAUGCAGCGACGCCGCGUGAGGGAUGACGGCCUUCGGGUUGUAAACCUCU
rnacentral:rRNA from 1 species